rnacentral:lncRNA from 1 species
CAUAACCUCACAUAUAAAGCAUGCUGAGGUGGCGUCAGGUCAUUUCAGGCUCUUCUGUGUCGAGCGGAGGAGUAGCUCUGUGUCAAGCUUAGGGGACUGGAAGAGGCCGCAACCUUCCGCCUGCUGGAGGGUGGAGGAUGGAUGGAGCCUGGAGCCUAGGUCACUACCUUGCUGUGGUUGGUGGUGGCGAUAGAGCAGUAGGAGAGCGGUCAGCAGCAGGAGGACUAGAAGGAAGAGGUACUGCCACAUGCUGGAGGCUGGAACCUGUGCCACCAUGGCUCGCCUCGCUGUGGUUGGUGGUAACGUCGGAGACUGCAGCUCAGCCACGGUGGUAGACAUGUGAUGGGCUGCUCCAAGCCAGGCUGAAGGAGGAGAAGGAGUUGCCGCCUGUGGUACGGUCGAGCAGAUGACGUGGCUCUGCAGCUUGCCUCAUGCAGUUGGUGUUGGAGAUGGAGACCACAGCUCGACUGGAGCGGUGGUUUCCUAGAAACAUGAUUGUUUAUUGGCGUUGAUCUCAGUCUGGUGAGGACUUCUUUACUGAUAAUGUCAAGUUCAGGUUACCCUCCCAACCAAGGAGCAUUCAGCACAGAACAAAGUCGUUAUCCUCCUCACUCUGUAAAGUAUACGUUUCCCAGCACCCGCCACCAGCAGGAUCCAACAUUUGGAGGCAAACAUGAAGCUCCAUCCUCUCCAAUUUCGAGGCAACCGUGUGGAGAUGAUCAAAAUGCUUCACCUUCAAAACUUUCAAAGGAAGAGUUAAUACAGAGUAUGGAUCGUAUAAAUCGAGAAAUUGCAAAAGUAGAACAGCAGAUCCUUAAACUGAAGAAGAAACAAGUAAAAGUCUUUGCUUAUAAUAUUCUAAGAAUGUGUGUUUUUCUCCCUACAGAAGAUAUUUUUGAGUUUUCCAUAUUAUGAAACUGUACAUAAAAGGAAUCAUGCCUUAUAUAUUCUGGCUUGCUGUUUUUUGCUGCUAUUGUGGUUUUCUUUCAUUCAUUCAUUUUCCUUGCUGCACUGUCUGAUCAUAUGAUUGUAGAGAGUGAAAUUUGUCCAUUCUAUUUUUGAUUUUUUUUUCUAUUCCAUACACUGGUGCUGGUUUUUGGUUCACAUGUAGAGAUUUUCUAGGGCAUGUGCCCAGGAAUGGCAGUGCUUGGCCCAAGAUUAUGCACAGUGAACUAUUUAAUAGAUGACACCAAAUUUGCUAAGAAGUAACACCAUUUUACAUUCCCACUGGCAACUUACGUGGGUACUGGUUUGUGCACAUUCUUGCCUUUACUUGAUAUCAUUUUUUCAUUUGGAUAUGAAAUAGUCUUCUCUGUGGUUUGGAAGGAGGCUGAGCUUAUUUUCAUUUGUUUAUGGGUUAUUUGGGUUCCUUAUGUGCAUUGUUCAUGUCUUUUGUCUAUAGUCUCCUAUUUUGUCAUUGAAAUUUUUAGGAUUCCCUGAAGUCCCUUGUCAGGUAUGUGUAUAGAAGAUUUGCCUAGUUUGUGGCCUGUCACUUCACUUUUAGCCCAGUAUCCACUCUAAGUGUACACUAAGUGCAUUUUUUUUUCCACAUUUCGAGUCUCACUCUGUCACCCAGGCUGGAGUGCAGUGGUGCGAUCUUGGCUC